CUCGCGCUGUCGCUGACAUUGUUUACUUGGUGGUCGACAUGUUUAGUCGUCAGCCCGCACUGGGCCACAUUGCACAAUAAUGUCUACCUGCACUACACAAUCACUUGACUCGAACACUACAGAUGAAGAGGAAAGGGACGACCAUUCUUUAAGCGUCGAGUGAACUAGCAGUGGAUUGUGUGUCCGGACCAUAUGUUUAUGUCUCUGGGGUGUCCAUUGAGGUUCACAGUGGCAAGCUAUCCAAGACAACACAUUCGGUGGAUGUGAAGUGUCAAAUGAAGUGUUUACCUUAAUAUUGGUUGUCGAAAGCAAAAUGAUUAAGUGACGGUUACACGUGGAUCAAUACUCGCGUCCGAUUUCAAAGCCCCGGACGAGCCAGGAGACCAAGGUUUUCCCCAAGAAUCAAAAUAGAGACAAGGAAACUCGAUCACCUCGUCACUGAUAUGAGAUAGAGGUGUGACGCGGCCUGGAAUCGAACCACGGAUCUUCCGCUCUCCGGGCAGACGCUCUACCACUAGGCCACAGAGGCGGUCCGAUAUGACAUACAGAACAAGUUACGGAAAUUGAGUUGCAUACGACCCAUUAUCCACGUCGAUGACCAGCGAUGCAGGUACCUAUUAAGCUGGUGAAGGGAGGGGAAGUGUUCUACGUGGACGUCGAACAAUCCGACACCAUGAGAGAAGUGAAGAACAAGAUAGAGCAGAAACGGGGGUAUCUUCCAGAUGACCAAAGGCUGCUCCUUCCGGGGAAAGGGCUUCUUGACCACCACACUGUGUCGUACUAUGGGAUAAGCGAGGAAUCCUCACUUCACUUGGCACUCCGGUUUAAAAAACUGACGGAAGCCGGAAGCAGCCAUCAAUCAUCUACCUAGAGCUUUACACGUGCAUCAAUCAUCCAACAGUCUCCAGCUACAGUGGUUGCAUUGCACGUGUGACGGUCCCAGUCGCCACUCUUCCUACAUAUGGCUACAGUCUCCAGCUAUAUAUAUAUAUAUAUAACACGGCGGAAGGACGUGACAGUUCCGAGCAAUGUGUCUGUUUACUGUUACACGCCAUUGGGCCACGUUGUUGAUUGUGUCAGGGUGUCUAUAUAUAGAACAAACCCACAUCUGUAUACCGAAACGUCG